rnacentral:rRNA from 1 species
GAUGAACGCUAGCUACAGGCUUAACACACGCAAGUCGAGGGGUAACAUGAAGCAAGCUUGCUUGCUUUGAUGACGACCGGCGCACGGGUGAGUAACGCGUAUCCAACCUGCCCCUUACUACGGGACAGCCCGGCGAAAGUCGGAUUAAUACCGUAUGUGGUGUGAAGAGGGCAUCUGACUUACACUAAAGAUUCAUCGGUAAGGGAUGGGGAUGCGUCCGAUUAGCUGGUUGGCGGGGUAACGGCCCACCAAGGCGACGAUCGGUAGGGGUUCUGAGAGGAAGGUCCCCCACACUGGAACUGAGACACGGUCCAGACUCCUACGGGAGGCAGCAGUGAGGAAUAUUGGUCAAUGGGCGCGAGCCUGAACCAGCCAAGUAGCGUGCAGGAAGACGGCCCUAUGGGUUGUAAACUGCUUUUAUGCGGGGAUAACGUGUGCCACGUGUGGCAUAUUGCAGGUACCGCAUGAAUAAGGACCGGCUAAUUCCGUGCCAGCAGCCGCGGUAAUACGGAAGGUCCGGGCGUUAUCCGGAUUUAUUGGGUUUAAAGGGAGCGCAGGCCGGCGAUUAAGCGUGCUGUGAAAUGUAGGCGCCCAACGUCUGAAUUGCAGCGCGAACUGGUUGUCCUGAGUACGCUGGAAGUGGGCGGAAUUUGUGGUGUAGCGGUGAAAUGCUUAGAUAUCACGAAGAACUCCGAUUGCGAAGGCAGCCCACUGUUGCGUCACUGACGCUGAGGCUCGAAAGUGCGGGUAUCGAACAGGAUUAGAUACCCCGGUAGUCCGCACGGUAAACGAUGGAUGCCCGCUGUUUGCCCUUUUUUAUGGGUGAGCGGCCAAGCGAAAGCAUUAAGCAUCCCACCUGGGGAGUACGCCGGCAACGGUGAAACUCAAAGGAAUUGACGGGGGCCCGCACAAGCGGAGGAACAUGUGGUUUAAUUCGAAGCAACGCGAAGAACCUUACCAGGUCUUGACAUCCCGCGCAUAGUGUAGAGAUACAUGAAGUCCUUCGGGACGCGGUGACAGGUGGUGCAUGGUUGUCGUCAGCUCGUGUCGUGAGAUGUUGGGUUAAGUCCCGCAACGAGCGCAACCCUUGCCAUUAGUUGCUACGCGAGAGCACUCUAAUGGGACCGCUACCGACAAGGUGGAGGAAGGUGGGGAUGACGUCAAAUCAUCAUGCCCCUUAUGACCUGGGCUACACACGUAAUACAAUGGCCGUCAACAGAGGGCUGCAAUACCGUGAGGUGGAGCCAAUCCCUAAAAACGGUCUCAGUUCGGAUCGCAGGCUGCAACCCGCCUGCGUGAAGCUGGAAUUGCUAGUAAUCGCGGAUCAGCAUGCCGCGGUGAAUACGUUCCCGGGCCU